rnacentral:rRNA from 1 species
GACGAACGCUGGCGGCGUGCUUAACACAUGCAAGUCGAACGGUAAGGCCCUUCGGGGUACACGAGUGGCGAACGGGUGAGUAACACGUGGGUGAUCUGCCCUGCACUUCGGGAUAAGCCUGGGAAACUGGGUCUAAUACCGGAUAGGACCACUGCCUGCAUGGGUGGUGGUGGAAAGCUUUGGCGGUGUGGGAUGGGCCCGCGGCCUAUCAGCUUGUUGGUGGGGUGAUGGCCUACCAAGGCGACGACGGGUAGCCGGCCUGAGAGGGUGACCGGCCACACUGGGACUGAGAUACGGCGCAGACUCCUACGGGAGGCAGCAGUGGGGGAUAUUGCACAAUGGGCGCAAGCCUGAUGCAGCGACGCCGCGUGAGGGAUGACGGCCUUCGGGUUGUAAACCUCUUUCAGCACCGACGAAGCGCAAGUGACAGUGGGUGCAGAAGAAGGACCGGCCAACUACGUGCCAGCCGCCGCCGUAA